GCACACUGGCCUGUGCUUACGGCAGGCCUCCACCCGCCUGUCUGUCAAAAGACUACACAUUGGAACAUGUCAUCUAACAAUGCUGCAGCAUCUCACCCGGCAAUCGUUUGAGGGGAAGCGCUGGCUUCCAGCGCCUCUUACAUGGAUGGUGCAGGGAGGACUCCUGACUGCAGAUAAAGGCAUACGCUUUGGAUCUCUGGAGACGCAGAAAUCAUGUUUAUGCAAACUCCAUCCUUAGCCCAAGGAGGAAAGAAGCCUAGAAGACAGGGAAGAGAUGCCCGCGCCACGGCGCCCAGUCCUACCUUUCCCAGAGGGCAGCCUGGUGGAGCCACGUGGAAGGAAGGGCGGGCAUGACAAGACCCUCAGCUUCCUGCUCCAACUCCAACCCUGCCUCACGCGUCUCCUCAUCCCCUCCAGGCUCGGGGGCCGGGCUGCUGAGCCUUCAAGAGAAUGCAAGAGCCACCCGUCCCUUCUCUCGUGACAAUAAAUGGGAGACUAAUAUUAGCCAAAUGCAACCCUUUUAGCUUUACAUCGCCUGGUAUGCUCACAAGCACGCCUGGAAAGUUCAUCACAAAUUGGUGCAUUCAUAAGAGCCAUAAGCCCGCAGCUUCUGGGUGAGAGCAGACAAAAUGCUACUUCUUUUUUGCAGAUGGAACAGAUGGGCUGGCUUGGCCCUCUGCAUUGCGUGUGUUGCCUGUAUGUUGUCUUUUCCCAAAAGCAAAUUGCAAAAAGAAAAUGGCUUUCUGCUGGGGGCCCAGCAAUUAGGAACCCUCCUUCCAGCAGAAGGAGGCAGAGAGGAGGGUAUAGGUGGGGCCAGGGAGGGCAAUGAGAAGAAAAGGGAAUGGGCUUAGGGGGCUGGGGGCUGCUAUUCAUCAGUUUCAAACCUUCUGGUCCAGAGAAAUCGGUGGGAACAUCACAGGAAAUUCUAAGGGACACGCUCUGUGUCCAUCGGCCUGAGGUGCGUGUCAUAGCAAGCCCUUCCCAGGAAUAAUUUCUAGGAAACUGGGCUGCAUUGAAACAUGUCUUGGAAAUGGAUCUUCUUUCCUCAGAAGAUGAUCUACCUCAUUCCCUGUUUCCUCCAAAACAUCAGCUUUCUUUGUGUGUCUCUUGGCUGAUUUCUUUAAAGUUGCUGAUGGGUU
rnacentral:lncRNA from 1 species